rnacentral:rRNA from 1 species
GGUUGAUCCUGCCAGUAGUCAUAUGCUUGUCUCAAAGAUUAAGCCAUGCAUGUCUAAGUAUAAACAACUUUAUACUGUGAAACUGCAGAUGGCUCAUUAAAUCAGUUAUAAUUUAUUUGAUGAUCAACUUACUACAUGGAUAACCGUAGUAAUUCUAGAGCUAAUACAUGCGCAAAGUCCCGACUCUUGCGGGGAGGGAUGUAUUUAUUAGAUAAAAAACCAAUGCGGGUCUCGGCCCGGUGUUGCGGUGAUUCAUAAUAACUUGUCGGAUCGCAUGGCCUCGCGCCGGCGA